UACGGAGGGGGCUAGCGUUGUUCGGAAUGACUGGGCGUAAAGCGCGCGUAGGCGGAUCAGAAAGUUGGGGGUGAAAUCCCGGGGCUCAACCCCGGAACGGCCUUUGAUACUGGGUAUCUUGAGUGUGGUAGAGGUGAGUGGAAUUGCGAGUGUAGAGGUGAAAUUCGUAGAUAUUCGCAGGAACACCAGUGGCGAAGGCGGCUCACUGGACCACAACUGACGCUGAGGUGCGAAAGCGUGGGGAGCAAACAGG
rnacentral:rRNA from 1 species